rnacentral:rRNA from 1 species
AUACGGAGGGUGCAAGCGCUGUUCGGAAUUACUGGGCGUAAAGCGCGCGUAGGCGGUCUGUUAUGUCAGAUGUGAAAGUCCUCGGCUCAACCGGGGAAGUGCAUUUGAAACUGGCAGACUUGAGUACUGGAGGGGGUGGUGGAAUUCCCGGUGUAGAGGUGAAAUUCGUAGAUAUCGGGAGGAAUACCGGUGGCGAAGGCGACCACCUGGCCAGAUACUGACGCUGAGGUGCGAAAGCGUGGGGAGCAAACAGGAUUAGAUACCCGGGUAGUCC